rnacentral:rRNA from 1 species
AGCAGUCGCCGCGGGAAUACGUAGGUGGCAAGCGUUGUCCGGAAUUAUUGGGCGUAAAGGGCUCGCAGGCGGUUUCUUAAGUCUGAUGUGAAAGCCCCCGGCUCAACCGGGGAGGGUCAUUGGAAACUGGGAAACUUGAGUGCAGAAGAGGAGAGUGGAAUUCCACGUGUAGCGGUGAAAUGCGUAGAGAUGUGGAGGAACACCAGUGGCGAAGGCGACUCUCUGGUCUGUAACUGACGCUGAGGAGCGAAAGCGUGGGGAGCGAACAGGAUUAGAUACCCCUGUAGUCCCUGUCUCUUAUAC